AAUAGAUACCCUGGUAGUCCACGCCGUAAACGAUGAGUGCUAAGUGUUGGAGGGUUUCCGCCCUUCAGUGCUGCAGCUAACGCAUUAAGCACUCCGCCUGGGGAGUACGGUCGCAAGACUGAAACUCAAAGGAAUUGACGGGGGCCCGCACAAGCGGUGGAGCAUGUGGUUUAAUUCGAAGCAACGCGAAGAACCUUACCAGGUCUUGACAUCUCCUGACCGCCCUGGAGACAGGGUCUUCCCUUCGGGGACAGGAUGACAGGUGGUGCAUGGUUGUCGUCAGCUCGUGUCGUGAGAUGUUGGGUUAAGUCCCGCAACGAGCGCAACCCUUGAUUCUAGUUGCCAGCAUUUAGUUGGGCACUCUAGAGUGACUGCCGGCGAUAAGUCGGAGGAAGGUGGGGAUGACGUCAAAUCAUCAUGCCCCUUAUGACCUGGGCUACACACGUGCUACAAUGGAUGGUACAAAGGGCUGCGAAACCGCGAGGUUGAGCUAAGUCCCAAAAAAACCNGUUCUCAGUUCGGAUUGC
rnacentral:rRNA from 1 species